UACGAAGGGGGCUAGCGUUGUUCGGAAUUACUGGGCGUAAAGCGCACGUAGGCGGAUAUUUAAGUCAGGGGUGAAAUCCCGGGGCUCAACCCCGGAACUGCCUUUGAUACUGGGUAUCUCGAGUCCGAGAGAGGUGAGUGGAAUUCCGAGUGUAGAGGUGAAAUUCGUAGAUAUUCGGAGGAACACCAGUGGCGAAGGCGGCUCUCGUGGGACGGUACUGACGCUGAGACGCGAAAGCGUGGGAGCGAACAGG
rnacentral:rRNA from 1 species